rnacentral:rRNA from 1 species
AUUGAACGCUGGCGACAUGCCUUACACAUGCAAGUCGAACGGCAGCACGGGUGCUUGCACCUGGUGGCGAGUGGCGAACGGGUGAGUAAUACAUCGGAACAUGUCCUGUAGUGGGGAUAGCCCGGCGAAAGCCGGAUUAAUACCGCAUACGAUCUACGGAUGAAAGCGGGGGACCUUCGGGCCUCGCGCCAUAGGGUUGGCCGAUGGCUGAUUAGCUAGUUGGUGGGGUAAAGGCCUACCAAGGCGACGAUCAGUAGCUGGUCUGAGAGGACGACCAGUCACACUGGGACUGAGACACGGCCCAGACUCCUACGGGAGGCAGCAGUGGGGAAUUUUGGACAAUGGGCGAAAGCCUGAUCCAGCAAUGCCGCGUGUGUGAAGAAGGCCUUCGGGUUGUAAAGCACUUUUGUCCGGAAAGAAAUCCUUGGCCCUAAUACGGUCGGGGGAUGACGGUACCGGAAGAAUAAGCACCGGCUAACUACGUG